rnacentral:rRNA from 1 species
AAUCAACGCUGGCGGCGUGCCUCAGACAUGCAAGUCGAACGCGAAAUUUCCCUUCGGGGAGAAAGUAGAGUGGCGCACGGGUGAGUAACACGUAGGUAAUUUGCCUUUGGGUGGGGAAUAACUCAGGGAAACUUGAGCUAAUACCGCAUAAUGCAGCGGCUCGACAUCGAGACAGUUGUUAAAGCGGGGGAUUGGAGCAAUCCGACCUCGCGCCUAAAGAGAAGCCUGCGGCAGAUUAGCUAGUUGGUAAGGUAAUGGCUUACCAAGGCGACGAUCUGUAACCGGCCUGAGAGGGCGGUCGGUCACACUGACACUGACAUACGGGUCAGACUCCUACGGGAGGCAGCAGUCGGGAAUUUUGGGCAAUGGGCGCAAGCCUGACCCAGCAACGCCGCGUGAAGGAUGAAAUUUUUCGGAAUGUAAACUUCGCAAGAACAGGAAGAAUAAGUGUGGGACAAUACCCCACAUGAUGACGGUACUGUUUGUAAGCUCCGGCUAACUCCGUGCC